AAGAUGUUAGUCUGAGGCUGGAUUAGCUGCUGGGAGAGUCUGGUUCAGGGGGCUGGCCAUGGUGGGACAUAACCCAGAAAAUCAUAAGCGGUGAAGACAAGAGAGUCUGUUCUCAACUAGACCUACCAGGGGAAUUUCCUGCCAAGGGUAGUGUGUGUGUUUUCUCUUUGUUCACCUAAAAAGGAGGGGCAGAGACCUACACCCAGAAGAGCUCAUGCAUGACCUCCCCCCAUGACUCACUCUGUAAAUGUUCACCACACUUUUCCCCUUGAGCAUUUACCAUCUCCCGUCCUCCCACAAUUGUUCACUGUCUGUCUCCUGCCCUAAAAUGUGAACUUCCCGAGGGCAGGCACCCUGUCUCUUUCUUUACUGUAUCCCCAGGGCCUGGAAUAUGUCUGGCAGGCAGUAGUUGCUCAACAGAUAUCUGUUAAGUGAGUAAAAGAAGCAGACUCUUCUUGGUCUGCAGAGAACCCUCCCUCAGUCUCAGUGUAGCGGUGAGAGCCUGACACCUCCGGCGAAGGACACCCUUCCCGGCCGGCCAGCAUCUGUAGUGGGCGAGGAUGAGGAACCAGGUGAAGUGGAUGUCUUCUCAUUAGCCCAUCCCAAUCCCCAGCCCGAAGAGGCAGAAACCAUCCCGGGUUUGAGUCUUGUCUUGAGCACCCUGAGGCCAGGACACAGGUUCGUGCUGCCCUUUC
rnacentral:lncRNA from 1 species